rnacentral:rRNA from 1 species
AGAGUUUGAUCCUGGCUCAGGACGAACGCUGGCGGCGUGCUUAACACAUGCAAGUCGAGCGGUAAGGCCCCUCCGGGGGCACACGAGCGGCGAACGGGUGAGUAACACGUGAGCAACCUGCCCCUGACUCCGGGAUAAGCGGCGGAAACGCCGUCUAAUACCGGAUACGACCCUCCGGCUCAUGCCGUGGGGGUGGAAAGUUUUUUCGGUUGGGGAUGGGCUCGCGGCCUAUCAGCUUGUUGGUGGGGUAAAGGCCUACCAAGGCGAUUACGGGUAGCCGGCCUGAGAGGGCGACCGGCCACACUGGGACUGAGACACGGCCCAGACUCCUGCGGGAGGCAGCAGUGGGGAAUCUUGCGCAAUGGGCGAAAGCCUGACGCAGSGACGCCGCGUGGGGGAUGACGGCCUUCGGGUUGUAAACUCCUUUUACCACUCACGCAGGCUCCCAGUUUUCUGGGGGUUGACGGUAGGUGGGGAAUAAGGACCGGCUAACUACGUGCCAGCAGCCGCGGUAAUAC